GACGAACGCUGGCGGCGUGCUUAACACAUGCAAGUCGAACGCUGAACCCGCUUCGGUGGGGGAUGAGUGGCGAACGGGUGAGUAACACGUGGGCAACCUGCCCCCGGCUCUGGGAUAACUCCAAGAAAUUGGGGCUAAUACCGGAUGUGACCGCUGGCCGCAUGGUCUGGUGGUGGAAAGGGUUUCCGGCUGGGGAUGGGCCCGCGGCCUAUCAGCUUGUUGGUGGGGUAGUGGCCUACCAAGGCGACGACGGGUAGCCGGCCUGAGAGGGUGACCGGCCACAUUGGGACUGAGACACGGCCCAGACUCCUACGGGAGGCAGCAGUGGGGAAUAUUGCGCAAUGGGCGGAAGCCUGACGCAGCGACGCCGCGUGGGGGAUGACGGCCUUCGGGUUGUAAACCUCUUUCAGCAGGGACGAAGCGCAAGUGACGGUACCUGCAGAAGAAGCACCGGCCAACUACGUG
rnacentral:rRNA from 1 species